rnacentral:rRNA from 1 species
UGUGGCUAGGGGUGAAAGGCCAAUCAAACUCGGAGAUAGCUGGUUCUCUGCGAAAUCUAUUUAGGUAGAGCGUCAUCCGAAUACCCCGGGGGGUAGAGCACUGGAUGGGUAAUGGGGACUCACCGUCUUACUGAUCCUAACCAAACUCCGAAUACCGGGGAGUACUAGAUGGCAGACACACGGCGAAUGCUAACGUCCGUCGUGGAGAGGGCAACAACCCAGACCGC